rnacentral:rRNA from 1 species
GUGCCAGCAGCGGCGGUAAUACGAAGGGGCUAGCGUUGCUCGGAAUUACUGGGCGUAAAGGGAGCGUAGGCGGGUUAUCAAGUUGGAGGUGAAAGCCCAGGGCUCAACCUUGGAAUUGCCUUCAAAACUGGUAACCUAGAGUAUGGAAGAGGUAAGUGGAACUCCGAGUGUAGAGGUGAAAUUCGUAGAUAUUCGGAAGAACACCAGUGGCGAAGGCGACUUACUGGUCCAUGACUGACGCUGAGGCUCGAAAGCGUGGGGAGCAAACAGGAUUAGAUACCCUGGUAGUCCACGCUGUAAACGAUGAUUGCUAGUGUCGGCGCAUGCCGUUCGGUGACGCAGCUAACGCAUUAGCAAUCCGCCUGGGAGUACGGUCGCAAGAUUAAAAC